rnacentral:tRNA from 1 species
GCUGGGGUGGCUGAGAGGUUGAAGGCACUUGAUUUGUAAUCAUGUUCGAAAGACAGCGCAGGUUCGAAUCCUGUCCCCAGCUCCA